CCUACGGGACGCAGCAGUGGGGAAUAUUGCACAAUGGGCGCAAGCCUGAUGCAGCCAUGCCGCGUGUAUGAAGAAGGCCUUCGGGUUGUAAAGUACUUUCAGCGGGGAGGAAGGCGAUAAGGUUAAUAACCUUGUCGAUUGACGUUACCCGCAGAAGAAGCACCGGCUAACUCCGUGCCAGCAGCCGCGGUAAUACGGAGGGUGCAAGCGUUAAUCGGAAUUACUGGGCGUAAGGCGCACGCAGGCGGUCUGUCAAGUCGGAUGUGAAAUCCCCGGGCUCAACCUGGGAACUGCAUUCGAAACUGGCAGGCUAGAGUCUUGUAGAGGGGGGUAGAAUUCCAGGUGUAGCGGUGAAGUGCGUAGAGAUCUGGAGGAAUACCGGUGGCGAAGGCGGCCCCCUGGACAAAGACUGACGCUCAGGUGCGAAAGCGUGGGGAGCAAACAGGGUUAGAUACCCCAGUAGUC
rnacentral:rRNA from 1 species